CGCGAAAGCCCCCUUCGGGGGGCAAGUAGAGUGGCGCACGGGNAGUAACACGUAGGUAAUCUACCUUUGGAUGGGGAAUAACCACCGGAAACGGUGGCUAAUACCGCAUAAUGCAGCGGCACCUAAUGGUGACAGUUGUUAAAGCGGGGGAUCGCAAGACCUCGCGUCUGAAGAGGAGCCUGCGGCAGAUUAGCUAGUUGGUAAGGUAACGGCUUACCAAGGCGAUGAUCUGUAGCCGGCCUGAGAGGGCGGUCGGCCACACUGACACUGACAUACGGGUCAGACUCCUACGGGAGGCAGCAGUCGGGAAUUUUGGGCAAUGGGCGAAAGCCUGACCCAGCAACGCCGCGUGAAGGAUGAAAUCCCUCGGGAUGUAAACUUCGCAAGAACGGGAAGAAUAAGCCGGUGACAACACCACCGGCGAUGACGGUACCGUUUGUAAGCUCCGGCUAACUCCGUGCCAGCAGCCGCGGUAAUACGGGGGGAGCAAGCGUUGUUCGGAUUUACUGGGCGUAAAGGGCGCGUAGGCGGCCACCGCAAGUCGACUGUGAAAUCUCCGGGCUUAACUCGGAAAGGUCAGCCGAUACUGCGGGGCUAGAGUGCAGAAGGGGCAACUGGAAUUCUCGGUGUAGCGGUGAAAUGCGUAGAUAUCGAGAGGAACACCUGCGGCGAAGGCGGGUUGCUGGGCUGACACUGACGCUGAGGCGCGAAAGCUAGGGGAGCGAACGGGAUUAGAUACCCCGGUAGUCCUAGCCUUAAACGAUGAAUGCUUGGUGUCUGGGGUUUUAUAGUCCCCGGGUGCCGUCGCUAACGCUUUAAGCAUUCCGCCUGGGGAGUACGGUCGCAAGACUGAAACUCAAAGGAAUUGACGGGGACCCGCACAAGCGGUGGAGCAUGUGGU
rnacentral:rRNA from 1 species